AAAAACUGGUCUGAUCUGAGGGGAUGGGGCAUGGAAUAUACUUUCCUGGAGGGGUAAAUAUCUCCUCUCCUUGUUUUUAUUGUCCGGCAUUUUCUCAUCUCUUCUAUUUAUUCUUCCACAUGAGCUCUGCCUUCAUCCAGGGAAGUUCUAGCAGAUGACUCCGUUGGGAUUUGGCCUGGAAUUGCGUAAAACCUGGGAAUGGCUGUGAAAGGAGUGGGUGCAUCGCCACGCUCCCUGCUGUCAGCUGCAGACGUGGCCCGUUUUUAUCUAUCCGCCCCUGUGCGCAUGUGUGAUCUCUCUCCAGCCCCUGAAUUGUCUUACGCUGGCAAAGCUGCACUGGCUUUGUCCUCAGCCUGCUCCGGGGCUGUCGGGUUCCUGCGACCAGGCCUGGGCCAUUCGCAGUCUAACUGUGGUUUUCAUUUUGUUUCACUUGCACGCACGGUUUCUGCGGCACUGGAGAUUGAACUCGGCCCCUGGCACACGAGGAAGCCCUCCUCCACUGAGCAACCCCGAGUCCUUCCCCAGUGUUGAGACCUUGCUCCCACAUCUCCCACUGUCAGAUGCGGGAGAGGGUCACAGCCGCCCCGGGACUCCAGUGUUCGCUGUGGCCCCGACAUUCCGGCCCGGAGAGCAGACUAAGGGCGGGGCCCUCGCCUGCAGGGCCUCGUGUUGACACAGGAAAUGGCAGUCUGGUUCCUCUUCCGGAGGGCAGGGUGGGGGCACCUCUACCCUGCUAUCGGCAAGUGACAUCUGUGAGGUUUACUGUCAGCAGCAAACCGAAGGCAUCGCUGGGCUGGGAGAUGCAGUGCGGUCGGGAAGAGACAGGACUGCGGCCGUGGGGAGAGCGGAGUGGUGCCAGCGUGUGGCAUUUCUGCUCUUCUCUCUCGAGUCAUCUGGGGUCCUUGGCUUUGGGCGGCGUCUUCUCCCGUCAUACUUGGAAGAAGCAAUGCAUCUUCAAGAGACUUCAAAUUGGAGACAGUGAAGUUUCCUCGAAUUCCUCUGCCACCGGAAGCUACCCGCUCCCCACCCCAGCCUCGAGUCACCCCGCCAGCACCCUGUAGACCCCAAUCCACUGGGUACCUCAGGGCGGGUGGGCACACACACACACACUGUGCGUGUGUGUGUGCUGGCAACUUCCUUUCCUUUGCUGUCCUCACAAAUAGUGUCGAGCCACACACAUCAUUCUGCAAGUUGUUUUUGUCAUUUGUCCAUAAAUUUUGGAUUUUUCCCUUUUUCUUUCCUGGUGCUGGGCUGGAACCACUCAGCUGCAUCCCUAUCUUGGAUAUUUUUUUCCUAACAGGAUAUAAAGUAUUUCUUCAUGGUUAUAUUAAAGCUGCAAGUAUUUUAUUAUA